rnacentral:lncRNA from 10 species
AAAAAGGGGAUCCAGGGAGAGGAACUUUUCUGAGGACUGGGGUAGGGCUGAACAGCUGCAUUCGAGGCUGGUGGAGGGUGGGCUGGGCAUGGGAUGCACAAAUGGAAAUUCCACUGGGUCUGCAGCUCACACAUAGGCAUGACCAGCAUAGAGAUAGAGAGGCCCCAGUGCUGCUGAGUAACUGUGAUUCCCCAGGUGAUGGCAUCAGCUGAGAAGGGAAGGAAGCCCAUGAGAGGACACUGAAGAAGGAGUGAGCAGACAAUAAGAAGCCCACAGAAGACAGAGAAGGAACAACUAGAGGGAGAAGCCAAGGCAGGCGUGUGUGGUAACACAUAGGAACUGAGGGAGAGGACAUUUCAAGAUGGUGGGGAUGCCAUACAACAGGACUAUGUGAUGGUUUUUGGCUGUGUCCAUAGGAAGUCACAACAGGCAAGGGAAAGAAACCAGAACCCAGUCAUGGAGUUAAGAAGUGAGUCAGAGAGUAGAUGGGUAGGGACAGUGAGGUAAGGCCUCUUUCUAAGGAAGUUUGGCUGAAGGAUAGACUAGCUGGACACAUGCUGGCUGUGUGGGGUAGAGGGAGGAAUGAUGGAGGGUAGGAGAGCCUUGAGCCUGCGAGAAGAGUCUCUUAGAAUAGAGAAGCUGAAGUUAAAGUUGUGGAAGAGAGUGGGGAUAACUGAGUGACAGAUAAUCAGGAGAAGAAAAGGAGAUCCAGACUCAUGACAGAGAGAUGACCUUUGCCAAGAGCACAGCCGUCUUUCACGGUCACAGAGAGGUAGGACAAAAUGAGUGGUGUUCAAGAAUUGGUUUGUAGCACAAUAUUUCAACUAUGUCCUUUAAAAAGUUUCUCCACAGACACUACCCAAAGCAGUGCUUCACUACAGUGGCAGACAGACCUGAAAAUUUUCAUCUGAAGCAGCAGAGUGAACUGCAGAGGCAGGUCACCAACCAGUGUGGAGGCUAAAAGCGGGCCUCUUUGGGGAUUCCAGGUGGAAGUGUUGGACAUCUGUAGUAUUCCUGGUCUCGAAUCAUCCUGAUAUUCUUCAUUUUGUUAUUCACAUUGGACUAGGAGAUAGAAUCUCACUAUGUUGACCAGGCUGGUCUUGAACUCUUGGCACCCAAGCGAUCCUUUUGCCUGGAAUCCCAAAGUGUCAGAUUUACUGAAGAAUAUUUCAUUGUAAUUACUUUUUAUACUUUAUAGGUCAAGAGCUCUGUUUUAAAUACAAAAUUUAUUGAAUAUACUUUUUCAAACAAAGUUUCAUGUUCUAAUCAUUGUCUGAUUUCAGCAUUAAAUGAAACACAGUAAAGAAAG